rnacentral:rRNA from 1 species
AGCGAACGCUGGCGGCAGGCUUAACACAUGCAAGUCGAGCGGGCACUUCGGUGUCAGCGGCAGACGGGUGAGUAACACGUGGGAACGUACCCUUCGGUUCGGAAUAACGCUGGGAAACUAGCGCUAAUACCGGAUACGCCCUUCUGGGGAAAGGUUUACUCCCGAAGUAUCGGCCCGCGUCGGUUUGGCCAGUUGGUGGGGUAAGGGCCUACCAAGGCGACGAUCAGUAGCUGGUCUGAGAGGAUGAUCAGCCACACUGGGACUGAGACACGGCCCAGACUCCUACGGGAGGCAGCAGUGGGGAAUAUUGGACAAUGGGCGCAAGCCUGAUCCAGCCAUGCCGCGUGAGUGAUGAAGGCCUUAGGGUUGUAAAGCUCUUUUGUCCGGGACGAUAAUGACGGUACCGGAAGAAUAAGCCCCGGCUAACUUCGUG